rnacentral:misc_RNA from 1 species
AACGCACAUUGCGCCCAUUAGUAUUCUAGUGGGCAUGCCUGUUCGAGCGUCAUUUCAACCCCUAAGCACAGCUUACUGUUGGGACUCUACGGCCUCCGUAGUUCCCCAAUGCGAUUGGCGGAGUGGCAGUAGUCCUCUGAGCGUAGUAAUUCUUUAUCUCGCUUUUGUUAGGUGCUGCCUCCCCGGCCGUUAAACCCCCAAUUUUUUCUGGUUGACCUCGGAUCAGGUAGGAAUACCCGCUGAACUUAA